CUUGGGGGGGGGCGGGGUCCCUCAGCCCGGAUUGCAAGAGGGGCAGGCCAGGUUGAGGGACUCCACCGGUGCAGG
rnacentral:pre_miRNA from 1 species